rnacentral:rRNA from 1 species
ACCUCUAGCAUAAAAAGUAUUAGAGGCACUGCCUGCCCAGUGACAUAAGUUAAACGGCCGCGGUAUCCUGACCGUGCAAAGGUAGCAUAAUCACUUGUUCCUUAAAUAGGGACUUGUAUGAAUGGCUUGACGAGGGUUUAACUGUCUCUUACUCCCAAUCAGUGAAAUUGACCUUCCCGUGAAGAGGCGGGAAUAUAAUAAUAAGACGAGAAGACCCUAUGGAGCUUAAAUAUUCUAGUCUAACAUUCACUCCAUUUCCACCCACGGGCAAUAAAACCUAUGUAAACAGACUACAAAUUUUGGUUGGGGUGACCUCGGAGUACAAAUUAACCUCCGAAUGAUAUUAAUCUAGACUGCGACCCGUCUAAAUUUUUAUUCAUAAAUUGACCCAAAAAUAUUUGAUCAACGGAACAAGUUACCCUAGGGAUAACAGCGCAAUCCUACUCAAGAGUUCAUAUCGACAGUUAGGGUUUACGACCUCGAUGUUGGAUCAGGACAUCCAAAUGGUGUAACCGCUAUUAAUGGUUCGUUUGUUCAACGAUUAAAGUC